CGGUACAGGGCCUCAGUAUUGGUGUUCUUAUUACAAUUAUUACUCUUCAUGGGAAAGUAAAGAGACACGCCCGUCAUCAACCUUUCCAGAACAACCGGUGUUCUUGAGCUCAAAUGCGCCUGUAAGCCCAAGUGUAGCGAACAGUCAAGACCUGAUAUUGGUAAUUUUCAACAGUUACCGUGAUGUACAGCCCCCAAAAAACUAUUUGAUAUAAACAAAUUGUCUGUUGAACCCUUCUAAUAAAAGUCGUUCUACUAAACGAAUUAAGAAGGUUCCCAUAUCAACACAACCGCACAUGUUUUGAAGUAAACAAGUUUCCAAAAGACAAGAAGACUUUGAAUAUUUUCCGGUACCUUUGACACAAAUUUAAACUGUUCGCGAAAUAGGUGAAAUCUUGUCAUUUCAAUUAAGCUAAGUGUUGACGCGGAUUGUGAAAGUAAGUUAACGCUGGAA